rnacentral:rRNA from 1 species
CGCUGGCGGCACGCUUUACACAUGCAAGUCGAACGGUAACAGGGAGCUUGCUCCGCUGACGAGUGGCGAACGGGUGAGUAAUAUAUCGGAACGUACCCAAGAGUGGGGGAUAACGUAGCGAAAGUUACGCUAAUACCGCAUACGAUCUAAGGAUGAAAGCAGGGGACCGCAAGGCCUUGUGCUCCUGGAGCGGCCGAUAUCUGAUUAGCUAGUUGGUGAGGUAAAGGCUCACCAAGGCAACGAUCAGUAGCUGGUCUGAGAGGACGACCAGCCACACUGGAACUGAGACACGGUCCAGACUCCUACGGGAGGCAGCAGUGGGGAAUUUUGGACAAUGGGGGCAACCCUGAUCCAGCAAUGCCGCGUGAGUGAAGAAGGCCUUCGGGUUGUAAAGCUCUUUUGUCAGGGAAGAAACGGGUGAGGCUAAUAUCUUCAUCUAAUGACGGUACCUGAAGAAUAAGCACCGGCU